rnacentral:rRNA from 1 species
UACGAAGGGAGCUAGCGUUGUUCGGAAUCACUGGGCGUAAAGCGCACGUAGGCGGACGUGUCAGUCAGGGGUGAAAUCCCGGAGCUCAACUUCGGAACUGCCUUUGAUACAGCACGUCUUGAGUCCGGAAGAGGUGGGUGGAAUUCCCGGGUGUAGCGGUGAAAUGCGUAGAUAUCGGGAGGAACACCUGAGGCGAAGGCGGGCUACUGGGCCGAUACUGACGCUGAGGCGCGAAAGCCAGGGGAGCAAACGGG